rnacentral:rRNA from 1 species
UACGUAGGGUGCGAGCGUUGUCCGGAAUUAUUGGGCGUAAAGGGCUCGUAGGCGGUCUGUCGCGUCGAAAGUGAAAACCCAGGGCUUAACCCUGGGCCUGCUUCCGAUACGGGCAGACUAGAGGUAUGCAGGGGAGAACGGAAUUCCUGGUGUAGCGGUGAAAUGCGCAGAUAUCAGGAGGAACACCGGUGGCGAAGGCGGUUCUCUGGGCAUUACCUGACGCUGAGGAGCGAAAGCGUGGGGAGCGAACAGG